AACGAACGCUGGCGGCAUGCCUAACACAUGCAAGUCGAACGAGACCUUCGGGUCUAGUGGCGCACGGGUGCGUAACGCGUGGGAAUCUACCCUUGGGUUCGGAAUAACUUCGGGAAACUGAAGCUAAUACCGGAUGAUGACGUAAGUCCAAAGAUUUAUCGCCCAAGGAUGAGCCCGCGUAGGAUUAGCUAGUUGGUGAGGUAAAGGCUCACCAAGGCUACGAUCAUUAGCUGGUCCGAGAGGAUGAUCAGCCACACUGGGACUGAGACACGGCCCAGACUCCUACGGGAGGCAGCAGUGGGGAAUAUUGGAAAAUUGGCGAAAGCCUGAUCCAGCAAUGCCGCGUGAGUGAUGAAGGCCUUAGGGUUGUAAAGCUCUUUUACCCGGGAUGAUAAUGACAGUACCGGGAGAAUAAGCUCCGGCUAACUUCGUGCCAGCCGCCGCAGUAAUAC
rnacentral:rRNA from 1 species